AACGCAUAUUGCGCUCCUUGGUAUUCCGAGGAGCAUGCCUGUUCGAGCGUCAUUACAACCCUCAAGCCCUGCUUGGCAUUGGGUAGCAUCAGUGAUGAUGUGCCCUAAAAUCAGUGGCAGCGCUGCUCAGCUCUAAGCGUAGUAAGGAUCUCGCUACAGAUGCCCAGCAAACGCUUGCAAAUAGCCUUAGAAUCUUCAAGGUUGACCUCGGAUCAGGUAGGGAUACCCGCUGAACUUAA
rnacentral:misc_RNA from 1 species